rnacentral:tRNA from 2 species
GGCCCCAUGGUCAAGCGGUUAAGACACCACCCUUUCACGGUGGGAACAGGGGUUCGAAUCCCCUUGGGGUCACCA